UAAUACGAAAAGGAAAAACAUUUUCUCCCAAAUCUCUCCGUAACCUAGUUUCGUAUUUUCUCUCUUCUUGACUUUCGAGAACUCUAUCAAUCGACGCUUCCACAAUUUGCUGAAACAGCAAAUCCCUUCGAUUUUUCUUAAUGAUUCGCAUAAAAUCUCUGAUCGCAAUUUUGUUUCUAAUCGUUUGUAAUUGAUGUUGAUCAGAGUUUCCUUUUCUCUCGUUCGCCUGAAGCGGAUCUAGCUGGUUAGGGCUUCUCGCUCGCCCCGUCGAGUUCUAUAACAGAAACAGAGAAUAAAAGGCUUCAUUCAAGAAGAAGAGACUUUGAACAAGAUUCAAGUGAUUAUGAUGAGACGAAAAUGAAGGAGUUAGAGCAGAUCAGCGUGACAACAUAUAACAUCACCUCAAACGCAAUGAUGACAAUGAUCUUUGUUGGCCUUGACUCCGCGCUUCACACCGUCUCUCUAAGGUAAAUUCUCUGCAUGUCCUUAGACUUUCUCGUUUUGUUUUGAAGCGCUUUUAUCCCGGUUUUUUUUUUGAGAUUUUUGAAAUCAGGAUUCCGUUUUGAACUGUUUUUUAUUUGACUCCGAUUUUCCUCUUUUUUAACAGGACUUUUAAAGCUUUUUGUUUUCUUGUGGUUUUAUCAAACCCAAGAGAUUAGGCAGACGUUCUUGUAAUGUUCCACCAAAUCUUGUUUGGGAACAUUGUUUUGGUUUUGUUUUGUUUUUGUUUUUCAAACCCCAAAAAAGAUCAUAGAUAGACACUAAUCUUAUAGUGUUCUGUCAGAUUCUUGUUUGGGAACAUUGUCCCUUGCUGCCUCUAAAAGAAACUUAUGCCAUCCCCUAUAGCAAGAUUGUUAAAUGGACCGGGAAUAUGGGUUGGUGGUGCAUGUAUAAAGUAGGGCGUUAGGGGAUGGCAAAUAAGAGCAUGCCGCUCAGUCUUAAGACAAAAGACUAUAACUGAAAACAGAUUCCUUACCCACGGCUUACACAUGUCUUGACAAAGACAAAGAUUUAUUACCCACGGCUUACAAGUCUUAAAGACUUUUCUGUUUUCAGUUAUUUGAAUGGUACAGUUUGAGAAAGUCUUAAGACAAGGACUAUAACUGAAAACAGAUUCUUUACCCACGGCUUACAAAGAUUUAGUACCCACGGCUUGAGAGAAUUUGUUUUCAGUUAUUUGAAUGGUUAUGGUUUGAGAAAGUCUUAAGACAAGGACUAUAACUGAAAACAGAUUCAUUACCCACGGCUUACUAAUGUCUGGACAAAGACAAAGAAAAUGUAGGAGGUUUAAGACUUGUUGGAUUGGAAAUAACGACCAACAACCCAGAAAAAAGCCAUUAGUGGAUGGAAAAUAAGACCAACGGCUUAAGAAGAUCUCAAGACAGAGACUACUAAUUGAAAGCAGAUUCCUGAUUUCACUACUCAUGGCUUACAAAAGACAGAUCGGUAAAAAGACAUGUUGGAUGGGAAAAUAAUAUGAAAGACAAUGUCAAUGGGGCAGUUCUAAGCCUUGCUGGAUGGAAAUUAACGACCAGCUGCGUAGAAAAAUUUGUUUGGGGAUGGCAAAUAAAACCAAACGGCUUAUAAGUCUCAAGGCAAAAAAAAAAAGACUGUGAUUUACUACCCACGGCUUUGUCCAAAUCUGUUUUCAGUUAUUCCAAUGGAAUGGAGUUAAUGACCACAGUUUGAGAAUGUCUUAAAGACAGAGACUAAGAACUGAAAACAGAUUCCUUACUUUACCACCCACGGCUUAUAAGUCUUAAAGACAAAAGACUUUUAUGAGAAUCUGUUUUCAGUUAUUUGAAUGGUACUGUUUGAGAAAGUCUUAAGACAAGGACUAUAACUGAAAACAGAUUCCUUACCCACGGCUUACAAAGAUUUAGUACCCACGGCUUGAGAGAAUCUGUUUUCAGUUAUUUGAAUGGUUAUGGUUUGAGAAAGUCUUAAGACAAGGACUCUAACUGAAAACAGAUUCCUUACCCACGGCUUACAAAGAUUUAGUACCCACGGCUUGAGAGAAUCUGUUUUCAGUUAUUUGAAUGGUUAUGGUUUGAGAAAGUCUUAAGACAAAGAUUAUAACUGAAAAUAGAUUCCUUACCCGCGGCUUACAAAUGUCUUGACAAAGACAAAGAAAAUGCAAGAGGUUAAGACUUGUUGGAUUGGAAAUAAGACCACACGGCUUACAAGUCUUAAAGACAAAAGACUUUUAUGAGAUUCUGUUUUCAGUUAUUUGAAUGGUACUGUUUGAGAAAGUCUUAAGACAAGGACUAUAACUGAAAACAGAUUCCUUACCCACGGCUUACAAAGAUUUAUUACCCACGGCUUACAGUUGUCUUGAUAAAGAAAAAGAAAAUGUGGGGUUUUGGAAAUAAGACCACACGGCUUACAAGUCUUAAAGACAAAAGACUUUUAUGAGAUUCUGUUUUCAGUUAUUUGAAUGGUACUGUUUGAGAAAGUCUGAAGACAAAGACUAUAACUGAAAACAGAUUCCUUACCCACGGCUUACAAAGAUUUAUUACCCACGGCUUACAGUUGUCUUGAUAAAGAAAAAGACAACGUGGGGUUUCUAAGACUUGUUGGAGUGGAAAUAACGACCAACAGCCCAGAAAAAAAAAGUCAUUAGUGGAUGAAAAAUAAGACCACACGGCUUACAAGUCUUAAAGACAAAAGACUUUUACGAGAAUCUGUUUUCUGUUACUUGAAUGGUACAGUUUGAAGAAGUCUUAAGACAAGGACUAUAACUGAAAACAGAUUUCUUACCCACGACUUACAAAGAUUUAGUACCCACGGCUUGAGAUAAUCUGUUUUCAGUUAUUUGAAUGGUUACGGUUUGAGAAAGUCUAAAGACAGAAUAUAACUGAAAACAGAUUUCUUACCUACGGCUUACAAAUGUCUUGACAAAGACAGAGAAAAUUUAGGAGGUUUAAGACUUGUUGGAUUGGAAAUAACGACCAACAGCCUAGAAAAUGUCAUUAAUGGAUGGAAAAUAAGACCACACGGUUUAGAAGUCUUAAGACAAAAGACUUUAGUACCCACGGCUUUCAAAAUUCUGUUUUUGAUCUAUGGAUGGAUGGAGUAACGACCUACGGUUUAAGAAAGUCUUAAGACAAAGGCUACAAAUUGAAAGCAGAUUCCUUACUUCACUACUCAUGGCUUACAAGAAAAGAAUUGUUGGAUGGAAAUAUAUUGCAAUAGGGCAGGCAGUUAUUAGACUUGUGUCCAUCCGUAGAAGAAACAAGGUGGGCAUACUACGUAACUAAAGACUAAUUAUUUUUAUUUCCUCAGGUAUGUACUUCAGAAGGCGUUCAUAUUGUUUGGGAGAUUCUGAAGAGAUUUGAAGUGUAGAAGACUUCUGUGACAGUUAAAUUUGGAUGUCUGAGCACUUGCGACAUUCCGCAACGACAUAUUACAAUACGUUCUGAAGUAUGCAUCUUCCUUGCAGUUUUGUAGUUAAAUCUAUUGACCGUUUUGAAAAUUGUUUUGGUAUCGUACUAAAAUAUAUGUCUUUGGUCUAUUAGCCAUACAUAGUUGAUGGGCCGUGGAAAUCUAUUGAAUCAUGGUGUAUUCAUUUAAAAUGUGCAAUAGAUGUUUUCGCGGUUUCUCUUUGAUACUUUUGUUUUAAUAAUAUUUUUAUGAUUGAUGUCAAAAAAAACAGGAAAUGAAUAUUAUUUGAACUCUUUUUUUGCUCUC